rnacentral:rRNA from 1 species
UCGAGGGGCAGCACGAUGUAGCAAUACAUUGGUGGCGACCGGCGCACGGGUGAGUAACGCGUAUGCAACCUACCUAUCAGAGGGGAAUAACCCGGCGAAAGUCGGACUAAUACCGCAUAAAACAGGGGUUCCACAUGGAAAUAUUUGUUAAAGAAUUAUCGCUGAUAGAUGGGCAUGCGUUCCAUUAGAUAGUUGGUGAGGUAACGGCUCACCAAGUCCACGAUGGAUAGGGGUUCUGAGAGGAAGGUCCCCCACACUGGUACUGAGACACGGACCAGACUCCUACGGGAGGCAGCAGUGAGGAAUAUUGGUCAAUGGGCGAGAGCCUGAACCAGCCAAGUCGCGUGAAGGAUGAAGGAUCUAUGGUUUGUAAACUUCUUUUAUAUGGGAAUAAAGUGAGGAACGUGUUCCUUUUUGUAUGUACCAUAUGAAUAAGCAUCGGCUAACUCCGUGCCAGCAGCCGCGGUAAUACGGAGGAUGCGAGCGUUAUCCGGAUUUAUUGGGUUUAAAGGGUGCGUAGGUGGUUAAUUAAGUCAGCGGUGAAAGUUUGUGGCUCAACCAUAAAAUUGCCGUUGAAACUGGUUGACUUGAGUAUAUUUGAGGUAGGCGGAAUGCGUGGUGUAGCGGUGAAAUGCAUAGAUAUCACGCAGAACUCCGAUUGCGAAGGCAGCUUACUAAACUAUAACUGACACUGAAGCACGAAAGCGUGGGGAUCAAACAGGAUUAGAUACCCUGGUAGUCCACGCAGUAAACGAUGAUUACUAGCUGUUUGCGAUACACAGUAAGCGGCA